GGACUACUGGGGUAUCUAAUCCUGUUCGCUCCCCACGCUUUCGCGCAUCAGCGUCAGUAUUAUGCCAGGUGGCUGCCUUCGCCAUCGACGUUCCUUCCGAUCUCUACGCAUUUCACCGCUACACCGGAAAUUCCGCCACCCUCUCAUAUACUCCAGUCAACCAGUUUGCGAUGCACUUCCCAGGUUAAGCCCGGGGCUUUCACAUCACACUUAACUAACCGCCUACGCGCCCUUUACGCCCAGUAAUUCCGAUUAACGCUCGCACCCUCUGUAUUACCGCGGCUGCUGGCAC
rnacentral:rRNA from 1 species